rnacentral:ncRNA from 1 species
AUGUAAAAUCAUUCAACAGGUGCCCUUAAAGGGAGAAUAGGGAAUCAGGUGCAAAACCUGAGCGGUCCCGCCACUGUUACCGGGAGCAGCCGCAUUUGCGCCACCGGUGUUUGCCGGGAAGGCUGCGGCAGGCGAUGAACGAAAGCCAGGAGACCUGCCUGUUGUUGAAGAGACCCC